UACGUAGGGUGCGAGCGUUGUCCGGAAUUACUGGGCGUAAAGAGCUCGUAGGUGGUUUGUCGCGUUGUUCGUGAAAACUCACAGCUCAACUGUGGGCGUGCGGGCGAUACGGGGCAGGCUAGAGUUCGGUAGGGGAGACUGGAAUUCCUGGUGUAGCGGUGAAAUGCGCAGAUAUCAGGAGGAACACCGGUGGCGAAGGCGGGUCUCUGGGCAGUAACUGACGCUGAGGAGCGAAAGCGUGGGGAGCGAACAGG
rnacentral:rRNA from 1 species